rnacentral:tRNA from 1 species
GGGCGGUUAGCUCAGUUGGUUAGAGCGUCACAUUGACAUUGUGAAGGUCGGAGGUUCGAGUCCUCUACCGCCCA